rnacentral:lncRNA from 1 species
UCAGUCAGAGAGUUCAUGCUAAGCUGUGGAGUGGGAGGGAGUAGCUGAGAGAGGUGGGUUUGAAGGAGGCAUCUGGAAGGAGAAAUUGAGGUUAGAGGCUGGUGAAAGUUCUUGGUCCACUCCCCCCAUUCCUUUUCCUUGUAGCUUCUGAGGACCAAAGCACAGGGUUAUAUAUUGUUUGCUGAUACAGUCCAAGCAGUCCUUGUACAGAAGUCUUCUGUUAAGGCGAGGCCUCACUCAGCAGAAAGGUUUGGGUUUAGAAAGUCAGAAGCAGUAUCCCAUAGGCCUGAAGCCUCAGAUGUUCUAGAGGCCAAAGACAUCUCCCUGGGAUGAAUGGAAUGUGGCCUUUUGGGGUUUCCACUUUCUAACACAUGGAGUUCACAAUGGCUGCAAAUCUGAAUCCUUGCCUUCUGUCUUUCCUCUCUUAUAUGUAGAAAUGAAACAGUUCCAAAGAUUCUGGACUCAUCUGUGUGGCCUUGAAACCAUCUAUCAUGAAACCAUGACAACAGAUAACUGAAGCUGGCAUGGCAAGAAGCUAAUGGUCAGGGCUGCUCUCAGUGAGUACUUAUCAGUAAGCCCACAAAUGGUCAGUCACUAUCUGUCCUGUUGGUUGAUGUCAAUGUUCUCCUACUCAUUGAACUGACCAUCUUGGUCUGGUAUCUGCUACCCAUUGCUCGAUACCAGAAAGUUUCAUAGACCUCUUCUCUAGACCACUCAACAUAGAGAGGUCUCUCACUGUGGCAAGGAAAGUAACUAAUACAGCUUCGAGUGCUUGCAACGUCAUGACAGCCAUUUGUGUGCUAGGUGGGAGCACAAGAGGACAACUCUUCACUACAGCAUGUGACCACACAUCCUAUCCUUUGAGAUGUCCCAUGAAGGUCAUUUUCAACUGAUUCACCCAGACCAACACUAGUGAGGAACCCACAGGGAAGGAUGCUGAGUGCAUAGCUCUUUCUGACCUGAUGCACAAAACAUCUGGAUUUGAAGCUGCACUGUGUGGACACCGAAGUGGAGUCAUUGGGUAUGAACACCUGAGUUCUGGAGUCCUCACGCUAACUAACAUUUACACACUGAGAACUUACUGAAUUUCUUAAUUUCUCCAAGUUCCAAUAUGCAUGCCUAUCUAGGAAAUGCAGAUAAUGCUAACACUGUCUGGUUUCUUGGAGUGGUAUUCCCUGUGCUAGUGAACGGAAUACGAAUGUAGAGGAAACACAUGCAACAGGGGUCAGACACAUAGUCUCAAUGGGUCAUUGAGCACCGUCAUCUAGGAC